rnacentral:rRNA from 1 species
AGAAUCAACGCUGGCGGCGCGCUUAACACAUGAAAGUCGAACGAGAAAGGGGAGCAAUCCCUGAGUAAAGUGGCGUACUGGUGAGUAACACGUGGAUAUCUACCUCUUGGUGGGGAAUAACCUGGGGAAACCUGGGCUAAUACCGCAUAAGUUCGUGAGAAGAAAGGCGCAAGCCGCCGAGAGAGGAGUCCGCGGUCGAUUAGGUAGUUGGCGGGGUAAGAGCCCACAAGCCAAAGAUCGAUAG